CUCUAAUGAUUGCCAGUAUGA
rnacentral:piRNA from 1 species